GACUUGACUCCUUUAAAUAGAAACAUCAAGAUUUUGUAUCAAAGUGAAAGUUUUCUGAUGAAAUAUUAGUAAAUUUGAAUAAAAAUUACACCUACAAAAUUCAAUAGUAAAAGUUUGUCAAAAAUUCAGUCCAUCAAAAAUAUAUCAAGUAUCAUAACGAAAACGAAUAUGAAUCAACAAUGUUAUUUUUCUUAGUGUAGUGCGUAGUGUAAAAUUUUAAUCACUUCCUGUGCCAUUUUUCUCAGUGUAUCAAUUAGUAUCUCAACAAUGCUGUGACGUAUUUCCUCUGAAUAUCUUGUACAACCUACAUCGAAGGUUCCGACAAAUCAUUCGCCUCUGGUAGUUGGCGUACUCUUUGCUUGGUUAUUUUUACUGUGAUUAUACUAUGCGCUGAUCACAAUACAAUAACAAGUACACCAAUCAAUGUUUACUGAUAAUCUGUUGACUCCAAAUGAAAUACAAAUAUUACAACUUCACAAGAAAACUAAUGUUUACUAUCUCAGAAUGAAUGGACAGUGUUGCCAGCAAACCUGCUUCUUUAGAGAAUGAAACCAAUCUUGACUUGAGUUCCUUCGUAGAACAUGGGACAUUCAGCACAAAAUGUUCGAAAGGAUAAUAAAGAUGUUGAAAAAAAAGCGAGGUUGGAUAGAAGAAAAUUAUCUGAAAAUGAACUCCAGUCUUAUAUGGAUAUUGACUUUGAUAAUAAUGAACCUAGAGAUGGACAAGAAACAGGCAUUUCAACACGGACUGAUUUAACAAUGGAAGAACUGGCUACAAAAUUUGAACAACUGACUGAAAAGACUAUCAUAAAUUGUAUGUUGA
rnacentral:lncRNA from 1 species